rnacentral:misc_RNA from 1 species
UGUGGGAGCGGGCUUGCUCGCGAAAGCGGUGUGUCAGUCAACAUUGAUGUCAGCUGACAAAUUGCAUUCGCGAGCAAGCCCGCUCCCACA